GACGAACGCUGGCGGCGUGCCUAAUACAUGCAAGUAGAACGCUGAAGAGAGGAGCUUGCUCUUCUUGGAUGAGUUGCGAACGGGUGAGUAACGCGUAGGUAACCUGCCUGGUAGCGGGGGAUAACUAUUGGAAACGAUAGCUAAUACCGCAUGAAAUUGCUUAUCGCAUGAUAAUUGAUUGAAAGAUGCAAUUGCAUCACUACCAGAUGGACCUGCGUUGUAUUAGCUAGUUGGUGAGGUAACGGCUCACCAAGGCGACGAUACAUAGCCGACCUGAGAGGGUGAUCGGCCACACUGGGACUGAGACACGGCCCAGACUCCUACGGGAGGCAGCAGUAGGGAAUCUUCGGCAAUGGGGGGAACCCUGACCGAGCAACGCCGCGUGAGUGAAGAAGGUUUUCGGAUCGUAAAGCUCUGUUGUAAGAGAAGAACGGGUGUGAGAGUGGAAAGUUCACAUUGUGACGGUAUCUUACCAGAAAGGGACGGCUAACUACGU
rnacentral:rRNA from 1 species